rnacentral:rRNA from 1 species
UGGGGAAUAUUGGACAAUGGGGGAAACCCUGAUCCAGCAAUGCCGCGUGUGCGAUGAAGGCCUGCGGGUUGUAAAGCACUUUCGUUGGGGAAGAAAUGCUCAAAGAUAAUACAUUUGAGAGCUGACGUUACCCAAAGAAGAAGCACCGGCAAACUCUGUGCCAGCAGCCGCGGUAAUACAGAGGGUGCAAGCGUUAAUCGGAGUUACUGGGCGUAAAGGGCGCGUAGGCUGAUAUUUAAGUCAAUUGUGAAAUCCCUGGGCUUAACCUAGGAAUUGCAGUUGAUACUGAAUAUCUUGAGUAUGGUAGAGGAAAGUGGAAUUCUCGGUGUAGUGGUUAAAUACGUAGAUAUCGAGAAGAACACCGGUGGCGAAGGCGUCCACCUGGACAGUAACUGACGCUGAGGCGCGAAAGUGUGGGUAGCAAACAGG